rnacentral:misc_RNA from 1 species
AACGCACAUUGCGCCCGCCAGUAUUCUGGCGGGCAUGCCUGUUCGAGCGUCAUUUCAACCACUCAGGCCCUGGUGCCUGGCGUCGGGGCUUCUUAUAGAUCCCCUAGAAUCAGUGGCGGACCCGCCGCGGCUCCGAGCGUAGUAGUAAAAUAUCUCGCUAUGGAGGUCCGUGGGGGGCUUACCGGCCGUAAAAGCUUUCUCUCACGAGAAAAUUCUCAAGGUUGACCUCGGAUCAGGUAGGAAUACCCGCUGAACUUAA